AGAUUCUCUGUGCAGAAAAAUCAUUAAGGAGUUCAACAUCCGAAGAAGUAAAACCUGCAAAAAUCAAAAUACCUCUGAUUCACUGUUUGUACCAUCAUGUCUUAAAUUGAGUAAGGCACUGAGAGAUCUACAUGGCUUGGCAGCUGUUCCUUCUGUCUCUCCAACUCAACCCACCUUACUGAGUUGCUCCUGUUUCUACUUCUGUUAGUGAAUGAGGGAUCAGUACUUUGCCCCCACAGUUUCUUCAGGAGUACCUUGUCCUAAAACAAAACCAAAUCUGGAAGGAGUAGAAUUUUCUGCUGGGACUUGGUAACAUUUCAUGGACAAGGAGGAUGUGACUCAUGCUGCUCAUGACUGCUGGAACCUAUAACCUCCUUUUCUCUUGGACUGAUACAAUGAUCUUCACUUUGAAAGAAGAAACAGAGACAUUUUUAACAGCAGAGAGACUUCACAAGUACUGAAUGAUAAAGGAUCAAGUUUUUGUUUGCUUGAUGGAAGAAAUCAGGCUUUAAUAAACACAGGAGAUGCUGAAAUAUGUCUGAGAAAGCUGGUGACUGUUAUCACCAGUAAACGU
rnacentral:lncRNA from 7 species